rnacentral:lncRNA from 1 species
UUUCCCAUAAUUGCAAUUCUUAGGUGGAGAUGGAGGAGAGAGAGGAGAGGAAGAGGAUGCAGGAGCUCAGAGAACAGGAGAGGCGGCAGGAGGAGGAGAAGGAGCGGCUGCUGGAACAGAAACAGGAAGAAGCGGAGCGCCGAGCCAAAGAGGAGCAGGAAAGACGAGAGGAAGAGGAGUACCUGAGACUGAAAGCCUCCUUCAUCAUUGAAGACCAGGGAGAGGAGGAGCAGCUCUCUGAAGACCAGUCACGCAACCUGCUGCAAGAGUUCAUCCAGUACAUCGAGGUAAGACUCGGCCCCCUCUGACCUGCACUUAAGUGUCUGUAUGUUGUGUUUUAACGGCCUUCUCUCUCUUGCAGAGCUCUAAGGUGGUCCUCCUGGAGGACCUGGCCUCUCACUUUGGAAUGAGGACUCAGGACGCUAUCGCCCGACUGCAGGACCUUUUAGCUGAAGGCUCGCUCACAGGUUGGUGGUUGAGAAAGAACAUAAGAACAACCUGCUCUGUUCCUGUUCACUGACUAAAUCCUUGUGUCUUCUGUAACUGCAGGUGUGAUAGAUGACAGAGGGAAGUUUAUCUCCAUUACCCCAGAGGAGCUGAACUCAGUGGCUCAGUUCAUCAGACAGAGAGGCAGAGUGUCAAUCACAGAGCUGGCUCAGGCCAGCAACUCUCUCAUCAACCUGAUGCCCGAGAGCCGCAGCACUGCCUGAAGGACACAUAACGGGACGCCUGACUGCUGGAAGUGAAUGUCAGCAGCUGGUGAGAAGACGUGCAGCUUCAGCGCUCAUCCUCCAAACCAGCUAAAGCUCCUCUGUCAGCAGUGAGUGGUUCUAAAUGUACUUUUGCUUUAAGUAACCGAGAGCAAGAAGACCCGAGUCACACAUCAGAACCAGUUAUGGGCUUGGAUUUUAGAGAUUUUAAUCUCACUUAUUGAAUGUAAAUAAAAAACACAACUAAGGAACA